UACGUAGGGUGCGAGCGUUGUCCGGAAUUAUUGGGCGUAAAGAGCUCGUAGGCGGUUUGUUGCGUCGGCCGUGAAAACUCAGGGCUUAACUCUGAGCCUGCGGUCGAUACGGGCAGACUUGAGUUCGGUAGGGGAGACUGGAAUUCCUGGUGUAGCGGUGAAAUGCGCAGAUAUCGGGAGGAACACCAAUUGCGAAGGCAGCUCGUUACACGAAUAUUGACUCUGAGGCUCGAAAGCGUGGGGAGCAAACAGG
rnacentral:rRNA from 1 species